rnacentral:rRNA from 1 species
CGACUGCUAAUACCGCAUAAGCCCACGGUGCCGCAUGGCACAGAGGGAAAAGGAGCAAUCCGCUUUGAGAUGGCCUCGCGUCCGAUUAGCUAGUUGGUGAGGUAAUGGCUCACCAAGGCGACGAUCCGUAACUGGUCUGAGAGGAUGAUCAGUCACACUGGAACUGAGACACGGUCCAGACCCCUACGGGAGGCAGCAGUGGGGAAUAUUGCACAAUGGGGGAAACCCUGAUGCAGCGACGCCGCGUGGAGGAAGAAGGUCUUCGGAUUGUAAACUCCUGUUGUUGAGGAAGAUAAUGACGGUACUCAACAAGGAAGUGACGGCUAACUACGUGCCAGCAGCCGCGGUAAAACGUAGGUCACAAGCGUUGUCCGGAAUUACUGGGUGUAAAGGGAGCGCAGGCGGGAAGACAAGUUGGAAGUGAAAUCUAUGGGCUCAACCCAUAAACUGCUUUCAAAACUGUUUUUCUUGAGUAGUGCAGAGGUAGGCGGAAUUCCCGGUGUAGCGGUGGAAUGCGUAGAUAUCGGGAGGAACACCAGUGGCGAAGGCGGCCUACUGGGCACCAACUGACGCUGAGGCUCGAAAGUGUGGGUAGCAAACAGGAUUAGAUACCCUGGUAGUCCACACCGUAAACGAUGAUUACUAGGUGUUGGAGGAUUGACCCCUUCAGUGCCGCAGUUAACACAAUAAGUAAUCCACCUGGGGAGUACGACCGCAAGGUUGAAACUCAAAGGAAUUGACGGGGGCCCGCACAAGCAGUGGAGUAUGUGGUUUAAUUCGACGCAACGCGAAGAACCUUACCAAGUCUUGACAUCCUGCGACGGACAUAGAAAUAUGUCUUUCCUUCGGGACGCAGAGACAGGUGGUGCAUGGUUGUCGUCAGCUCGUGUCGUGAGAUGUUGGGUUAAGUCCCGCAACGAGCGCAACCCUUAUGGUCAGUUACUACGCAAGAGGACUCUGGCCAGACUGCCGUUGACAAAACGGAGGAAGGUGGGGAUGACGUCAAAUCAUCAUGCCCUUUAUGACUUGGGCUACACACGUACUACAAUGGCGUUAAACAAAGAGAAGCAAGACCGCGAGGUGGAGCAAGACUCAGAAACAACGUCCCAGUUCGGACUGCAGGCUGCAACUCGCCUGCACGAAGUCAGAAUUGCUAGUAAUCGCAGAUCAGCAUGCUGCGGUGAAUACGUUCCCGGGCCUUGUACACACCGCCCGUCACACCAUGAGAGCCGGGGGGACCCGAAGUCGGUAGUCUAACCGCAAGGAGGACGCCGCCGAAGGUAAAACUGGUGAUUGGGGUGAAGUCGUAACAAGGUA